rnacentral:misc_RNA from 1 species
GUAAACAAUUCACGUGAAUCUGACCAUCAAUCUGUUGAAUCACAGAAUAGUUAUUCUGACUUGCUGUUUAAUCUAACGUUGAGGAAGCUUUCGAAAGCUCGAAGAUCCAACUCGUAAUUGGCGCAAAGCAACAUCAGUAUUUUCCAUCGAACGAAGCUUAAAGUCACGUGGUGUCCAGCGCGGUGAAACGCGCACGCGGAUAUAUCAAGCUUUUAAGCUGGCUGAGCUUUCGCCCAGGCAUCUUGCAUGCGCGCCCGUUGGGGACGAUAAAAAUGAGGCAUGCACAAGCAAAGGAGCGAGUUCACAUUGCGCACACCCAUCUCCAUUCCAUCACGGAAAUGGAACUUGCAUUAUGCCAUGGUAUUUAUGACUCACUGUUUCGCUCGACUUUAUUCAACUCUCCCGUUUCUUUUUUCUUUUCCUCGGGGCGAUCCCUCUUCCCGUUCCUCUUCUUUGUUUCGCAAACCCUGGAACGUGCAGGUUGCAUGGGUAAAAUAAGUUGGGAUAGAUCGCGCAUUAUACGCGAUCGAAUUAAAGCAAGUGGAGCUGUUUUUAAUAUACUACGUUUUAAUUGCCACGGCGGAUUUCCUUUUUAAUUUUUACUGCUCAAUAUAUCCGAUUUACUCGCAUUGAUCUUACAUUUAUAGCUGUUAUCAUUAACUUAAGAAAUGGAUUAACGUAGCUUAAGAAAUUCGUCGCGUAGAAUUAAUCCCAAAUGUAUUUUAACAGAAUAAAAACACAUGUACUUAAAUGUAAUACACAUGUUUAAGUACACAUGUACUUAAAACUUAUGUAAUGUAUUCUUUACUUUUACAAAAUGUAAUCGCAAAAAACAAAUCAUAAUUUUGAAA